GACGAACGCUGGCGGCGUGCCUAAUACAUGCAAGUUGAGCGCUGAAGGUUGGUACUUGUACCAACUGGAUGAGCAGCGAACGGGUGAGUAACGCGUGGGGAAUCUGCCUUUGAGCGGGGGACAACAUUUGGAAACGAAUGCUAAUACCGCAUAAAAACUUUAAACACAAGUUUUAAGUUUGAAAGAUGCAAUUGCAUCACUCAAAGAUGAUCCCGCGUUGUAUUGGCUAGUUGGUGAGGUAAAGGCUCACCAAGGCGAUGAUACAUAGCCGACCUGAGAGGGUGAUCGGCCACAUUGGGACUGCGACACGGCCCAAACUCCUACGGGAGGCAGCAGUAGGGAAUCUUCGGCAAUGGACGAAAGUCUGACCGAGCAACGCCGCGUGAGUGAAGAAGGUUUUCGGAUCGUAAAACUCUGUUGGUAGAGAAGAACGUUGGUGAGAGUGGAAAGCUCAUCAAGUGACGGUAACUACCCAGAAAGGGACGGCUAACUACGUG
rnacentral:rRNA from 1 species